CUACGGGUGGCUGCAGUGAGGAAUAUUGGUCAAUGGGCGCGAGCCUGAACCAGCCAUCCCGCGUGCAGGAUGACGGCCCUAUGGGUUGUAAACUGCUUUUCUAUGCCAAGAAACCCUGUUACGAGUAACAGGUUGCCGGUAGCAUAGGAAUAAGCAUCGGCUAACUCCGUGCCAGCAGCCGCGGUAAUACGGAGGAUGCAAGCGUUAUCCGGAUUCAUUGGGUUUAAAGGGUGCGCAGGUGGGCUUGUAAGUCAGUGGUGAAAUGCUGCCGCUUAACGGUAGAACUGCCAUUGAUACUGCGAGUCUUGAGUAUGGUUGAGGUAGGCGGAAUGGGUUGUGUAGCGGUGAAAUGCAUAGAUAUGAUACAGAACGCCAAUUGCGAAGGCAGCUUACUAAGCCAUUACUGACGCUGAGGCACGAAAGCGUGGGGAGCGAACAGGAUUAGAUACCCGCGUAGUC
rnacentral:rRNA from 1 species